CUACGGGUGAAAUCUGAGAAACAA
rnacentral:snRNA from 1 species